AUUGAACGCUGGCGGCAUGCCUUACACAUGCAAAUCGAACGGUAACGGGCCUUCGGUGCCGACGAGUGGCGAACGGGUGAGUAAUACAUCGGAACGUGCCCGAUCGUGGGGGAUAACGAGGCGAAAGCUUUGCUAAUACCGCAUACGAUCUACGGAUGAAAGCAGGGGACCGCAAGGCCUUGCGCGGACGGAGCGGCCGAUGGCAGAUUAGGUAGUUGGUGGGAUAAAAGCUUACCAAGCCGACGAUCUGUAGCUGGUCUGAGAGGAUGAUCAGCCACACUGGGACUGAGACACGGCCCAGACUCCUACGGGAGGCAGCAGUGGGGAAUUUUGGACAAUGGGCGCAAGCCUGAUCCAGCCAUGCCGCGUGCAGGAUGAAGGCCUUCGGGUUGUAAACUGAUUUUGUACGGAACGAAAAGCCUUCUUUUAAUACAGGAGGGUCAUGACGGUACCGUAAGAAUAAGCACCGGCUAACUACGUG
rnacentral:rRNA from 1 species